GUCCACGGAUGGAGAAAAGAAGAAUAUGAAAGGGAAGAAGCUGUAGAAGGGAAAUGAAGGGAUUCAGCCCAAGCCCACACCAAGCGAGGUGCAAACAUCUCACCCACCCACAAUUGUCGAUGUAAGUGACGAAGAGACCAGUGAGGAUUCCGUAGACGUUACUGCCGGAGAAGAGUGGAUUGCAAGGGUAGAAAUGGCAAGGCAGGACGUUGAGAUCUUAGGCCGACACUUGAAUGGGGCGGACAACAAAUUCAAAACCCUUGAGAACUUAACCCUUGUGGAGAAUGACAACAUCUUAAAGGAGUUAGAGGCACGCCAGCGGGCCGAGUUUGAGAUGAAAGAGGCCAUUACUUCCUUAGAGUUCAGGCUUAUCGAAGCACUUGGCGUGAUUGAGUCGUUAAAAGCCGAAGUGGAAGCAAUCAAGGAAUACAGGGAGAUUAAUGGAUCCACAUCACUUGACCGGGAAAGGGAGGACAGAGUCGAGUCUCCAAGGCCACCUUUGUUCAAUGGCGUCUGCGACGCAUAGGAGGUGGAGAAUUUCCUAUGUAACUUGGAGAAUUACGUCAAGUGUUAUCGGAUGCGAAAUGAUGUGAACAAGAUCAACACUGUUGUGUUGUAUCUUUCGGAGAUUGCCAUGCUAUGGUGGAGAUUUCCUCUCCUCUCCAAGGUUGUUAGGCCUCCUCCCCCCUUCGUAUGCUGCAAACUUGCUGGAAAGGUGGAGGGAUGUCACACUACACUCUGUAUACAUUAGCAUGGCAUAACAUUAUAGGAUUUUGGUCCGAUUACAUUGGCCUUCGGGAUCAGAGUAAUGAUUAACAGGGACAGUCGGGAGCAUUCGUAUUUCAUAGUCUGAGGUGAAAUUCUUGGAUUUAUGAAAAACGAAUAACUGCGAAAGCAUUUGCCAAGGAUGUUUUCAUUAAUCAAGAACGAAAGUUGGGGGCUCGAAGACGAUCAGAUACCGUCCUAGUCUCAACCAUAAACGAUGCCGACUAGGGAUCGACGGAUGUUGCUUUUUGGACUCCGCCGGCACCUUAUGAGAAAUCAAAGUUUCUAGGUUUCGGGGGGAGUAUGGUUGUAAGGCUGAAACUUAAAAGAAUUUACGGAAGGGCACAACAAGGAGUGGAGCCUGAGGCUUAAUUUGACUCAAAACGGGGAAACUUAGCAGGUCCAGACAUAUUAUUGAUUGAUAGACUGAGAGCUCUUUCUUGAUUCUAUGUGGGUGGUGCAUGGCCGUUCUUUGUUGGUGGAGCGAUUUGUCUGGUAAAUUUUGUUAACGAAUGAGACCUCAGCCUUCUAACUAGCUAUGCGGAGGUAUCCCUUUGCGGCCAGCUUCUUAGAGGGACUACGGCCUUUUAGGCCAUGGAAUUUUGAGGCAAUAACAGGUCUAUGAUGCCCUUAGAUGUUAUGGGCCGCACGCGCUACACUGAUGUAUUCAACGAGCUUAUAGCCUUGGCCGACAGGCCCGGGUAAUCUUUGAAAUUUCAUCGUGAUAAGGAUAGAUCAUUGCAAUUUUUGGUCUUCAACGAGGAAUUCCUAGUAAGCGCGAGUCAUCAGCUCGCAUUGACUACGUCCCUGCCAUUUGUACACACCGCCCGUCGCUCCUACCGAUUGAAUGAUCCGGUGAAAUGUUCGGAUCGCGGCGACGUGGGCGGUUCGCUGCCCGCGACGUCGCGAGAAGUCCAUUGAACCUUAUCAUUUAGAGGAAGGAGAAGUCGUAACAAGGUUUCCGUAGGUGAACCUGCGGAAG
rnacentral:rRNA from 1 species